AGCAGUAGCCGCGGUAAUACGUAGGUGCAAGCGUUGUCCGGAAUUAUUGGGCGUAAAGGGCUCGCAGGCGGUUUCUUAAGUCUGAUGUGAAGGCCCCCGGCUCAACCGGGGAGGGUCAUUGGAAACUGGGAAACUUGAGUGCAGAAGAGGAGAGUGGAAUUCCACGUGUAGCGGUGAAAUGCGUAGAGAUGUGGAGGAACACCAGUGGCGAAGGCGACUCUCUGGUCUGUAACUGACGCUGAGGAGCGAAAGCGUGGGGAGCGAACAGGAUUAGAUACCCGAGUAGUCCCUGUCUCUUAUACA
rnacentral:rRNA from 1 species